CCUACGGGGGGCAGCAGUGGGGGAUAUUGCACAAUGGGGGGAACCCUGAUGCAGCGACGCCGCGUGGGUGAAGACGCGCCUCGGCGCGUUAAGCCCCGUCAGCAGGGAAGAAAAUGACGGUACGUGAAGAAGAAGCCCCGGAUAACUACGUGCCAGCAGCCGCGGUAAUACGUAGGGGGCAAGCGUUAUCCGGAUUUACUGGGUGUAAAGGGGGGCAGGAGGGGUUGCAAGGCAGGAGGGAAAGGCCGGGGGCCAAACCCGGGACUGCCCUUGGAACUGGGUGGCUGGAGUGCGGGAGGGGCAGGCGGAAUGCGUGGUGUAGCGGUGAAAUGCGUAGAUAUCAGGAGGAACACCGAUGGCGAAGGCGGCCUACUGGACUGCAACUGACGUUGAGGCCCGAAAGCGUGGGGAGCAAACAGGAUUAGAUACUCCUGUAGUC
rnacentral:rRNA from 1 species